rnacentral:sRNA from 1 species
AGUGCCAGCAACUGGGCACUGUCCUCAUGGAAACCAAGCACCUCAAACCCAGUUGGCCCCAGUGCCAGGAACCGAGCACUAUUGUCAUGUAGACCAAGCACCUCGAACCCAGCCGGCCCCAGCGUUAGGAACCGGGUACUGUCGUCAUCAGCAUCAGGGUCAACCUCUGGACCCUGGCUUCCUCAGCAUUAACAGGAAAGGUUAGAAGCCCUGUUAGGUCUCUUCCAACUUUGUCUAUAACUCUGAAAAAGCAACGUGGAGUUUCUCUGGCACACUCUUUGAGGAAAUAGAAUUCGCCAAACCAAUGCAAAUGGAGAAAUAUAUUUCACCUGAGUAGGGAAGAAAAACCUUGUAAAGGCUUCCAAGAACCUCCAGAAACCUACUGGAUGUGCUUACCACUAAUCUCUUUUAAAGCAAUUCCCUGACAACACUCUGUUAAUCUCUCUUGAGCUCCUUAGUACCCCCUGAAAGUAGCAGGACAGCCUUACUUUCCAAAUCUUCACCUUUGCAAGAGUCUAGUCUGUGAGUCCAGGCUCACCUGAAGUCUGAGAUUUUGGGAGCUUUGGAGAAUUCUGGAUAAAAUCCCUUACUGGACUUAGCAGGAAUCUCCGAUCUGUGGAGAAGUCUCCUCGGUUUUCAGAGACUGAGCAUCUGUUCCUAGCUCCCUCCGGGCUCUGAUGCCAUUAAUGACUGCAGGAAGCUGUUCCAGGCCUCAAUACAGAAAGAACCCUUAGACCCUCAGAGCUGGAGUUUUAUCUCCUAGGGUUAUGGUGAAUACCUAGGGCAGGACCGGGCACUUAGAAAGCUCUCAUCCAAUGUCCCCUAACUCUUGGAGACAAUAAUCAAGACUUAGAGGAACUGACUGGGGGAAACGUCAACACUUUCUUGGUUCUCUCAGAGGCCGGUGGAGACGGUGCUCCAUUCUGCCUGGAUCAUUUCCCAGGGCAGACUUUCUGAGCUGAACUGGGUUCUCGGUGAUUCCAACUCACUCCCCACAGACUUACCCGGCACUGAGUGCAGGCCUGGAGGGAGACACUUCACUUAGAUCCUUUCACCGGAUGGCAUGAUAAUGCUGUGGGAAGGUACAGAUGAGGAAACCAAGGCUCAUGGAAGUUGCGUGAAUUGCCCCAGGUCACAAGGCUUUUGACCUCCAGUCCAGCGUCCUUCCUGCGUUUCCCCAUUGGCAAGGUUUGCCAACAGGGUGGGCCCAGCUGCUCCCAGCACAGCUGGCCCUGGAGAGCACUUUGCAGGGACAGAGUCAGCCACGUGAGAAAGGACUUGGCAUACUGUAGGAUUUAAGGGUUCUAAUCAGGGCUUCCCAGCAAAUUCUGUUGGGCCAAUGUGGACCUCUCAAGUAUGAGGUUGGACCAUAUAAAACUGCAAUUCUGUAGAUCAAAAA